GCACCCUUAGCUCAGCCGGAUAGAGCAACAGCCUUCUAAGCUGUGGGUCAGUGGUUCGAGUCCACUAGGGUGCG
rnacentral:tRNA from 1 species